AGAGUUUGAUCCUGGCUCAGGACGAACGCUGGCGGCGCGCCUAACACAUGCAAGUCGAACGGAGCUGUUUUCUCUGAAGUUUUCGGAUGGAAGAGAGUUCAGCUUAGUGGCGAACGGGUGAGUAACACGUGAGCAACCUGCCUUUCAGUGGGGGACAACAUUUGGAAACGAAUGCUAAUACCGCAUAAGACCACAGUGUCGCAUGGCACAGGGGUCAAAGGAUUUAUCCGCUGAAAGAUGGGCUCGCGUCCGAUUAGCUAGAUGGUGAGGUAACGGCCCACCAUGGCGACGAUCGGUAGCCGGACUGAGAGGUUGAACGGCCACAUUGGGACUGAGACACGGCCCAGACUCCUACGGGAGGCAGCAGUGGGGAAUAUUGCACAAUGGGGGAAACCCUGAUGCAGCGACGCCGCGUGGAGGAAGAAGGUCUUCGGAUUGUAAACUCCUGUCCCAGGGGACGAUAAUGACGGUACCCUGGGAGGAAGCACCGGCUAACUACGUGCCAGCAGCCGCGGUAAAACGUAGGGUGCAAGCGUUGUCCGGAAUUACUGGGUGUAAAGGGAGCGCAGGCGGAUUGGCAAGUUGGGAGUGAAAUCUAUGGGCUCAACCCAUAAAUUGCUUUCAAAACUGUCAGUCUUGAGUGGUGUAGAGGUAGGCGGAAUUCCCGGUGUAGCGGUGGAAUGCGUAGAUAUCGGGAGGAACACCAGUGGCGAAGGCGGCCUACUGGGCACCAACUGACGCUGAGGCUCGAAAGCAUGGGUAGCAAACAGGAUUAGAUACCCUGGUAGUCCAUGCCGUAAACGAUGAUUACUAGGUGUGGGAGGAUUGACCCCUUCCGUGCCGCAGUUAACACAAUAAGUAAUCCACCUGGGGAGUACGACCGCAAGGUUGAAACUCAA
rnacentral:rRNA from 1 species